rnacentral:rRNA from 1 species
CGGAAACAGGAAAGUAGCUUGCUACUUUCGCUGUCGAGCGGCGGACGGGUGAGUAAUGCCUAGAUAUCUGCCUAGUCGUGGGGGAUAACAGUUGGAAACGACUGCUAAUACCGCAUACGCCCUACGGGGGAAAGGAGGGGACCUUCGGGCCUUUCGCGAUUAGAUGAGUCUAGGUGGGAUUCAGCUAGUAGGUGAGGUAAUGGCUCACCUAGGCGACGAUCCCUAGCUGGUCUGAGAGGAUGAUCAGCCACACUGGAACUGAGACACGGUCCAGACUCCUACGGGAGGCAGCAGUGGGGAAUAUUGCACAAUGGGCGAAAGCCUGAUGCAGCCAUGCCGCGUGUGUGAAGAAGGCCUUCGGGUUGUAAAGCACUUUCAGCGAGGAGGAAAGGUAGGUAGUUAAUAACUGCUUACUGUGACGUUACUCGCAGAAGAAGCACCGGCUAACUUCGUGCCAGCAGCCGCGGUAAUACGAGGGGUGCAAGCGUUAAUCGGAAUUACUGGGCGUAAAGCGUACGCAGGCGGUUUGUUAACGCCAGAAUGUUGAAAGGCCCUGGGGCUCCAACCUAGGAAUUGCAUUUGGAACUUGACCGACUAGAAGGUCUUGUUACGAAGCGGCGGGUACGAACUUUUCGGUUGUUGGCGGGUGAAAACUGCGUACAGAUCUGGACAGGGAUUACCCGGGUGGGCGAAGGGGGCCCCUGGGACAAAGACUGGCGCUCUU